UACGGCUAUAUCACGUUAAAACUGCGGUUCACGUCUGAUCACCGAAAUUAAGCAACGUCGUGUUUGGCCAGUACCUAGAUGGGUAACCCUUGGGAAUACCAGGUGCUA